rnacentral:rRNA from 2 species
UUGACCUCGGAUCAGGUAGGGAUACCCGCUGAACUUAAGCAUAUCAUUAAGCGGAGGAA